UACGUAGGGGGCGAGCGUUGUCCGGAUUAUUGGGCGUAAAGAGCGUGUAGGCGGUUCGGUAAGUCUGUCGUGAAAUCCUGAGGCUCAACCUCGGGCGUGCGAUGGAUACUGCCGGGCUAGAGGGUGGUAGAGGCGAGUGGAAUUCCCGGUGUAGCGGUGAAAUGCGCAGAUAUCGGGAGGAACACCAGUAGCGAAGGCGGCUCGCUGGGCCACACCUGACGCUGAGACGCGAAAGCUAGGGGAGCGAACAGG
rnacentral:rRNA from 1 species